GACGAACGCUGGCGGCGUGCUUAACACAUGCAAGUCGAACGGAAAGGCCCUGCUUUUGUGGGGUGCUCGAGUGGCGAACGGGUGAGUAACACGUGAGUAACCUGCCCUUGACUUUGGGAUAACUUCAGGAAACUGGGGCUAAUACCGGGUAGGAGCUCCUGCUGCAUGGUGGGGGUUGGAAAGUUUCGGCGGUUGGGGAUGGACUCGCGGCUUAUCAGCUUGUUGGUGGGGUAGUGGCUUACCAAGGCUUUGCCGGGUAGCCGGCCUGAGAGGGUGACCGGCCACAUUGGGACUGAGAUACGGCCCAGACUCCUACGGGAGGCAGCAGUGGGGAAUAUUGCACAAUGGGCGGAAGCCUGAUGCAGCAACGCCGCGUGCGGGAUGACGGCCUUCGGGUUGUAAACCGCUUUCGCCUGUGACGAAGCGUGAGUGACGGUAAUGGGUAAAGAAGCACCGGCUAACUACGUG
rnacentral:rRNA from 1 species